ensembl:lncRNA
GGCUUUUUCUGGGUGUGUCUGUGAGGGUGUUUCAGGAAAAGAUGAGCAUUUGAAUUAGAAGACUGAGUGGAGAAGAUAGCCCUCACCAGUGCAGGUGGGCAUCACCCAAUCGGUUGAGGGCCUAAAUUGAACGAACGCAUGGAGGAAGGAUGAAUCUGCUCUCUGCUUCAGCUGGGACAUCCAUCUUCUCCUGCCCUCAGACACCACUGCUCCUAUUCUGGGACCUUCUGACUCAGACCAGGGCUGCCACCGUUGGGCCCCCUGGUUCUCAGACAUUUAGACUGGGACUGGAGCUGCAUCACUGGCUUCCUGGGCCUCCAGCUUGCAGAUGGCAGAUCAUGGGACUUCUCAGCCUCCAUAAUCACGCAGGGGAAAGAGCAUGGACAUCAUAGUGAAAAAGAUCUGGUUUCGAAUCACGACUCCUACCUUGUCAAAUUUCCAAGACUCCUCCUCCAUCUGCAGAAUGGGGACAGUUGUGGUACCUACAGCAUCAGAUUGUGAGCCAGACGCCUAUGCAUCCUUGACACCCAAGAAGAUUCCUCUGUCCCCCUAGGGACUUGGCCUCUCUUGGAGGGUCCAGCGUACCUCAGUCCCCUGGGAAUCUUCACCCCAACUAUGAACCAAGCACCCUGUCAUGCCAUGGCAUCAGGCCUAGUGAAAUGGGAGGAAGUCUGCCGCGUUCAUCAUGGAAAUGGCCCCAUUCUUGGAAAGGCCCAAACCGAGCUUGUCUUCAUAACCACCGAAAUCCGAUUAUCUGCACUCCAGAAAGUGCGCGUGUGGAGACCACUUUCUCUAAUUAAUUGGUUCUACUGCCUGUGCUGGGCCGUUCAGGGGGCCUGAGAUGAGAGCUCUCUCUAGGUGGCUGACUGGGGACACGAGCCCGAGGCCUUCCGUCAGCUGAGCUUAGCGAAACAGUGAACCCAGGUCAGCUUGGCCAGAGACGGCCUCCUGCUCUCGGGGCUGAGACCCGUGUUGCCAGCACUCAGGGGAGGGGGCCCUGUCUUCCCCUUUCCCUUACUUCUUCCUAAGACCUGGAAAAAUGUCCCCCCUCCGGAGUUGACAGGCUGAUACUGGAAGCAGUCACUGGCUUAUUGCCAUUGCCUGGCUCGCCCGUACACUUACUCAUGUCUCUUCUGCUCCUCUCUCCUGUGCCCACUCCUUAACCCCAGCCAAGUCUUUUUCAGAGUCUCCCAGAGAGGACCUCACAUGUGCCCUGCUAGCUGCCCAGGCUCAGAGCCCCACCUGCCCUGAUCCUGGGGGCCCCACCACCGGCCAGCUUGGCACCAGCUUAACCAAGUCACCAGCCAUGGCCAAUCCUCCAGGCUGGCCGUGGCAGGCUGAAUAACGGCCACCAGAGCUGUCCAUGUCCUCAUUCUUGGAAACUGUGAAUGUCACCUUCUAUGGCAAAAGGGACUUGGAAGAUGUAAUCAUGUGGCAGAGGGGGACGCUUGCAGAAGAAGAUAAGAAACGAGGCCUGUUCCAUGCCAUCCUGACUCCCGGAAUCGCCUCUACUCGGCCAAACAUUCUUGAUCCGAUUUGAAUAAUGAUCCCAAGCUUCACUGAGCACCUGGUAGAUGCAUGACCGUGUUCAGUCCUCACUGUAACCAGAUGAGGAAAGUACUACUCGUCUUCCUAUUUCACGGAUGAGGAAACAACAGUCUAGCAUCACCUUACGAGGAAGUGGCAGGACCAGGAUGGGGUGCCCUUCUUUCUAAUGCCAAAGCUGCUGAGUUCUUUGUAAUUCACCCCACGCUGUCCUGCCCUGUCCUGUCACUUGCAGUCCCUCGUUCUUGCCCGCCAUCCAUCUUCGAUGCUACCCGAGGCCCCAGGCGACAGCAGAUUCCACGGCCACAUCCCCGCUUGCUCACAGUGGGAGAGGGGACAGGUGCCUGGAGAACCUAGUAGACGAGGGCAGUAGGCUCUGUCACGGAGAACCUGCAGACUCUCUCUAAGGCCGGGCUUGCCAAUCAGGCCCUUCAAACCACCAGCUGCUGGCCAAGUUUGGCCCAGAGACGCAUUUUUCUUUCCGUGGAAUGUUGAUGCUUUCCAUGCCUUUUCUGUUUUGUUUUGUUUUAAUUUGAAUGACUAUAUUCCUUGUUUAUUUUCUCUUUUUAG